CUGGAGCNCAGNGCGAAAACUUCGCAAUACGCGAAAGCUUGACGGGGCUAUCCCGAGUGCCAUCUGCUGAGGAUGGCUUUUACCUAGUAUAGAUAGCUGGGGGAAUAAGGAGAGGGCAAGUCUGGUGUCAGCCGCCGCGGUAAUACCAGCUCUCCGAGUUGUGGGGAUGUUUAUUGGGCCUGAAGCAUCCGUAGCCGGCUGGGCAAGUCCCCUGUUAAAUCCAGCGACUAAUCGUUGGUCUGCGGGGGAUACUGUUCGGCUAGGGGGCGGGAGAGGCCGUCGGUAUUCUUGGGGUAGGGGUGAAAUCCUAUAAUCCCAGGARGACCACCAGUGGCGAAGCUGUCGGCUAGAACGCGCCCGACGGUGARGGAUGAAAGCUGGGGGARCGAACCGGAUUARAUACCCGGGUAGUCCCAGCUGUAAACGAUGCARGCUARGUGUUAGGGCGGCUACGUGCCGCUCUAGUGCCGCARGGAARCUGUUAAGCCUGCCGCCUGGGGAGUACGGCCGCAAGGCUGAAACUUAAAGGAAUUGGCGGGGGAACAA
rnacentral:rRNA from 1 species